rnacentral:rRNA from 1 species
CGAGCGGUAGCCAGAGAGCUCGCUCUCCCGUGACCAGCCUCGGACGGGUGAGUCAUGUCUGGGAAACUGCCUGAUGGAGGGGGAUAACUACUGGAAACGGUAGCUAAUACCGCAUAAUGUCGCAAGACCAAAGUGGGGGACCUUCGGGCCUCAUGCCAUCAGAUGUGCCCAGAUGGGAUUAGCUAGUACGUGGGGUAACGGCUCACCUAGGCGACGAUCCCUAGCUGGUCUGAGAGGAUGACCAGCCACACUGGAACUGAGACACGUUCCAACUCUAGUACGGGAGGCAGCAGUGGGGAAUAUUGCACAAUGGGCGCAAGCCUGAUGCAGCCAUGCCGCGUGUGUGAAGAAGGCCUUCGGGUUGUAAAGCACUUUCAGCGGGGAGGAAGGCGUUAAGGUUAAUAACCUUGUCGAUUGACGUUACCCGCAGAAGAAGCACCGGCUAACUCCGUGCCAGCAGCCGCGGUAAUACGGAGGGUGCAAGCGUUAAUCGGAAUUACUGGGCGUAAAGCGCACGCAGGCGGUCUGUCAAGUCGGAUGUGAAAUCCCCGGGCUCAACCUGGGAACUGCAUUCGAAACUGGCAGGCUAGAGUCUUGUAGAGGGGGGUAGAAUUCCAGGUGUAGCGGUGAAAUGCGUAGAGAUCUGGAGGAAUACCGGUGGCGAAGGCGGCCCCCUGGACAAAGACUGACGCUCAGGUGCGAAAGCGUGGGGAGCAAACAGGAUUAGAUACCCUGGUAGUCCACGCCGUAAACGAUGUCGAUUUGGAGGUUGUGCCCUUGAGGCGUGGCUUCCGGAGCUAACGCGUUAAAUCGACCGCCUGGGGAGUACGGCCGCAAGGUUAAAACUCAAAUGAAUUGACGGGGCCCGCACAAGCGGUGGAGCAUGUGGUUUAAUUCGAUGCAACGCGAAGAACCUUACCUGGUCUUGACAUCCACAGAACUUAGCAGAGAUGCUUUGGUGCCUUCGGGACUG